UGCUUAUCUUUUCUUUCGCUGUGUCUUUGUGUCUGUGUGACUGUGUGUGUGUGUGUGUGUGUGUGAGAGUGUUUUGCCGUCACUGAGAUCGCCUGUGUUCCUAAAUGUUUGUCCUUCUCCAUCGUGUUUAUUUGUCAGUGAGGGGUUCUCUGGAGACACCAUGGCCCAGACACAGUUUAUCUUUCCUGCCCACAACCCAACUGAGGUUUCUUUCUGAUUCAUAUCACAGACUUUCUCAACAGAGACUCAACAUCGCAAGACUUCCGGGAACGCUUGGAAAGCAUACUCGACAGACCAGACCAGGGUUUGAGAAAUUCUCUGUGUGGGAGGCCAAUGAUAAGGGCUCUGAGGUGCACCUCCAGGCCGACCCCACCAAGCUGGAGCUGCUGCACCAGUCCUUCAAGGUCAAGAAGGAGGUUUUCAAGGACAAACAGAAGAAGACGAUCCUGGAUAAGAACGGGGUGAGGAGCAGCUGGACGUCCCUCCCAGAGGGCUGCUGCUGGCCCAGACUGAGGACUACAGUCGUCACGGUGCCGUGCUGAAGGAACCGGAGAAGGCUGUGGCACGCUCCAAAUACGAAGAGGACGUACUCAUCCAGAACCACGCGUGUAUCUGGGGGUCAUGCAGGAGAGAAAGCUGCUGGGACUUCAAGUGCUGCCACUCCAUGGU